GAAAACUUGGAAACUACCAUUGGAUCGAGAAAUAGACGUCCGAGAUUCGUCCAUGUCACCAUCAGUUAAAAUUUAACUCGCAGAUUCACUCAUGAGUUAAAAUUUUAAUGGAAGUUAAAUUUUAACUCAUGGUGACAUGGACGAAUCUCGGACGCCCAUUUCUCGAUCCAAUAGUAGCUUCCAAGUUUUC
rnacentral:pre_miRNA from 1 species